ACAGGCGUGCAGACCAUGGGGACACCCGCCAUGCUGGGAAGUCACAACAGUGUGUGUACUCACCUUAGCUCCCCAUCCAAGGCCUGAAUGACAGCUGCAAAACUCCUGCUGGUUUGGUUGAGGUAGACAUAACACGUCCUCAGGCUGUCGCUCAUGGACUCCUGGCACGACAGACAAAAGAACACCGUGUGUCGACUGAACCCCGCGGGUCUGAGGGCGCUGGAGGUCCGGGCCGCCUCCAGCAGGCCCCGCUCCCCGCGCCUCCAGCCCGCCAGGCGCGAGCGAGGAGUCGCUGAGCCCCGCGGUGCCACCGAGAGAGAGCGCUUGAACACAGACAGAGAGACGGGACACUUGCAGCACGCUCCGGCGGCCAUGCGAGGAGCCGGGUGACGACGACGCCGCCGCAGCAGCAGCUCGGCUUUGGAAUGGACGCUACGACGCAGACGCAGACGCACAUGUAGAGGACGGGCAGCUAAGCGAGAUUAUUGUACCCCGCCUACCGCCCGUGUGCAGCUGGGAUGUGCUCCAGUACCCCCGCGACCCUGCACGGGACAAGCGGUUCUUGGGUUUGCGUUUGCGGGUCUGGAUCCCCUCUUUCUUCAUAGCCAGAGGUCGUGCGACCUGCCAGGACGAUGUUUUACACAGGCCACAGGCGUUGCAGACGGGCUCUCCCUCUGCGUUUCGUCGCCAGAGGGUGGUGGUGGUGGUGUGACAGUUGGUGCACGAAAGGCCAACCCUCCUGGAGGCCGACUGUGUUGAGAGGUGGGCAUGGGACACACGUCACAUUGCUAUCAGAGACACAGGAGAAGUCCUAUUUAUACCUACCAGUCGUCUCUGGGGUUUGAUGAGAGGUCUGUUGAUGCCGUUCAUCUUGUGGUAGAGUCCACAGGCGUUGCACAGGUAGUGGCCCGUGCCGUCCCGCCUCCACAACGGCGUGGACAUGGCGCCACAGUUGACACAUUCUCGGCCCUCGGCGAAGUCGUCAAAUAGAUCUGACCAUGGAGGACAACAAGUGUGAAUUCGUUCUCACCUAUAAUCGUCACCUGAUUCCCCCCAAAUAUCAAUCAAUGAAAGUUUACUUAUAUAGCCUUUAAUCACAAAUGUCUCAAAGGACUGCACACGCCACAGAUCCCAUAUCAGUCCACCCAGGAUUUCGCUGCCUUUUUGUGUGAUUGUUGUGGCCUAAAAUGUCUGAAUUUGUGACCACGAGUUUAGAAAGAAAAAAGUUGCAAUGUUUUUAGGCCUAUUUUAUUCUCCGAUAACAUUGAAUCAGCGUAUGAUUUUGUGAAUUUGUUAUCCAUGUUUUAAGUGUGCCUUGUAACUUUGACUUCAAAAAGCACCUUAUUUCAACACAAAUUGGAAAACAAAUACUGUAUUAAAAUUGUAAUCGUUUUAUAUCACACAAACUUAAAAAUAGACACUAAAUUGCAGUAAAAUCACAUACUAAGAGCUCAUUAUCAAAUUACUGUUUGAAUUAAUCAUCCCAAAUAAUAGCAAUAAUUGUAUUUAUAGAAAGAAACCCCACCAAAGUCAUCUUUAUUGUCUGUUGUCUACAAGUUGCGGACAUUAUUUGUGUAUGUUUUACACUCCAAGUGUUUUUGAAUUGGUGAGUGAUGUGUAGUGGUAAUUUUUGUUGGUAAAUGAGAAGGGAUGAGGGAUUAUCAUCACACUUCAACAUCUCUAACAUGUAAAUGCAGCCUUUAUGCAAGGUAAGCAUUGCAAAUGAAAAUCUUUUUCUAAUUGCCUUAUCCUGGAUAAAUAAAGGUUAAAUAAAUAUACAAACACACGUAAACUUGGAAGUGAGGACAUUGUUUUGUCGCUAAAAGUUUAUAUGUACAUUACUCAGAAGAAUUUAGCACUGUAGACGGAAACCUAAAAUAGGUCUGAGCUGCCUAGGAGGAUGGAAAUUGGGCAAUAAAGAGUUGUUAUAUUGUUA